rnacentral:rRNA from 1 species
UACCGCAUAAUACCCACGGGUCAAAGGAGCAAUUCGCUUGAGGAGGAGGUCGCGGCCCGAUUAGUUAGUUGCGGGGUAAUGGCCCCCACCCAAGACGGUGAUCGGUAUCCGGCCUGAGAGGGCGCACGGACACACUGGAACUGAAACACGGUCCAGACUCCUACGGGAGGCAGCAGUGGGGAAUUUUGCGCAAUGGGGGAAACCCUGACGCAGCAACGCCGCGUGGAGGAUGAAGUCUCUUGGGACGUAAACUCCUUUCGAUCGGGACGAUUAUGACGGUACCGGAAGAAGAAGCCCCGGCUAACUUCGUG